UACAGAGGUCUCAAGCGUUGUUCGGAUUCAUUGGGCGUAAAGCGCACGUAGGCGGCUUUUUAAGUCAGGGGUGAAAUCCUGGAGCUCAACUCCAGAACUGCCUUUGAUACUGAGAAGCUUGAGUCCGGGAGAGGUGAGUGGAACUGCGAGUGUAGAGGUGAAAUUCGUAGAUAUUCGCAAGAACACCAGUGGCGAAGGCGGCUCACUGGCCCGGUACUGACGCUGAGACGCGAAAGCGUGGGGAGCGAACAGG
rnacentral:rRNA from 1 species